GCCUCGAAAUGAUAUCCUUAAUAAUGGCACUGACAUUACUAAAGGUUAUCUUUUUCAUUUUGAAAGUAGAAUAAAUUUUUUUUUUUGUCUGCUUACGGCUAGCGCCCAUUCGUUCAAUUAAUUUAUCACUACUAUUAUAAGUAUUUUAGUUUUCAUAUUAAAGCCUUAUAAAUAACUAUAUGUUUAGGGGACAAUUUAACAUCGGUUUUAUCGAGUAAAGUUCUAGAUGUAUUACUGAUUAUGACAAAUUUAUAUCUAUAUGUCUUGACCAAAUUACGUGCCAGCAGUCGCGGUAAUACGUAGAAGACUAGUGUUAUUCAUCUUUAUUAGGUUUAAAGGGUACCUAGACGGUAUAAUUAGUCUUAAACAGGAUACGGUUAUGCUAGAGUUAUAUAUGAGAAGGGGAGUAUUGAUGGAGUAGAGUUAAAAUUCUUUUAUACCAUUAGGACAGGUAACGGCGAAAGCAACCUUUUAUCUAAUAACUGACGUUGAGGGACGAAGGCUCGGGUAGCAAACAGGAUUAGAGACCCUAGUAGUCCAAGCAGAAAAUGAUGAAUGCCAUAGAUUAGAGUUUUAUUUAGUCUAUAAAUGAAAGUGUAAGCAUUUCACCUCAAGAGUAAUGCGGCAACGCAGGAACUGAAAUCAUUAGACCGCUUCUGAAACCAGUAGUGAAGUAUGUUAUUUAAUUCGUAGUUACGCGAAAAACCUUACCACAACUUGAAUAUUAUCUUUUUAUGCUAAUACAAUGUCUAUAAUAAGCAAUGCAAUAAGAAUAUUAUUAUUUUUAUAAUUUACUAGUAAGUUAUUAUUAAUAUUAUUUUUAAAGAUAUUACAAGCGUUGCACGGCUGUCUUCAGUUAAUGUCGUGAGACUUUGGUUCACUCCAUAAAAUUAACGGAAACCCUUGCUUUAUUUGUAUAACUUUGUUAUUUUCUGUCCGAAGGAUGAUAAUCACAAUGAGAUAAUAUAUCAGUUCACUAUACAAGUUACAGAUAAUAGGA
rnacentral:rRNA from 1 species